GUCAGGAUGGCCGAGUGGUCUAAGGCGCCAGACUCAAGUUCUGGUCCUCGAUUGAGGGCGUGGGUUCAAAUCCCACUUCUGACA
rfam:Picea glauca, whole genome shotgun sequence.